UACGAAGGUCCCAAGCGUUGUUCGGAAUCACUGGGCGUAAAGGGAGCGUAGGCGGCGCGGUAAGUCAGAUGUGAAAUCCCGGGGCUCAACCCCGGAACUGCAUCCGAUACUGCCGUGCUAGAGUUUUGGAGAGGUAGUCGGAAUUCACGGUGUAGCAGUGAAAUGCGUGGAUAUCGUGAGGAACACUCGUGGCGAAAGCGGGCUACUGGACAACAACUGACGCUGAGGCUCGAAGGCCAGGGGAGCGAAAGGG
rnacentral:ncRNA from 2 species